CGUACUCUUCCCCCUACAUUCGCACGAAUAAAAACUCGCACUUCAAACUACAUAAACUUCGAUUCAUUUUAAAAGCCGCAAAAGUGGCAGGGAUUCGAAGCCAUAAGCGGCCAGUCCCAAAAACAUUAAAACGCCCACACUCGGCCGAGAGAAACGCAAAAACAACAAAUACAUAAAAAAAACUUCUCUCUCGAAAGAAACUGCAAACCAUGAACGUCUUCGGGCUCUUACGCCUCACCUUCAA
rnacentral:lncRNA from 1 species